rnacentral:rRNA from 1 species
UACGUAGGGUGCAAGCGUUAAUCGGAAUUACUGGGCGUAAAGCGUGCGCAGGCGGUUGUGCAAGACAGAUGUGAAAUCCCCGGGCUCAACCUGGGAAUUGCAUUUGUGACUGCACGGCUAGAGUGUGUCAGAGGGGGUAGAAUUCCACGUGUGAGCAGUGAAAUGCGUAGAGAUGUGGAGGAAUACCGAUGGCGAAGGCAGCCCCCUGGGAUAACACUGACGCUCAUGCACGAAAGCGUGGGAGCGAACAGGAUUAGAGUACCCCGAG